GAGUUUGAUUCUGGCUCAGGAUGAACGCUAGCUACAGGCUUAACACAUGCAAGUCGAGGGGCAGCAUAACGAAAGCUUGCUUUUGUGAUGGCGACCGGCGCACGGGUGAGUAACGCGUAUCCAACCUUCCCUGUAGUAGAGAAUAGCCCGGCGAAAGUCGGAUUAAUGCUCUAUGUUGUAUUUCGAUGACAUCUGAAGAAUACCAAAGGUUUACCGCUAUAGGAUGGGGAUGCGUCUGAUUAGGUUGUUGGCGGGGUAACGGCCCACCAAGCCCACGAUCAGUAGGGGUUCUGAGAGGAAGGUCCCCCACAUUGGAACUGAGACACGGUCCAAACUCCUACGGGAGGCAGCAGUGAGGAAUAUUGGUCAAUGGACGGAAGUCUGAACCAGCCAAGUAGCCGUGCAGGAUGACGGCCCUAUGGGUUGUAAACUGCUUUUAUAUAGGGAUAAAGUCGGGGACGUGUCCCCGUUUGUAGGUACUAUAUGAAUAAGGACCGGCUAAUUCCGUGCCAGCAGCUGC
rnacentral:rRNA from 1 species